CACAUGGUUACAUAUUGCUAUUUUAUUUAUAGUCUGACCAUCAAUAAGACCUGGCCAAAUUUAUGGAGAGAAUUCGACUUUAACUCCUAUUAGUAGUAAUUAUGAUUUUAUUAAGAAUAAUUAAGAAAUUAUGGUUUUUCUUGUUGCUGUACAUUAUUCAUAUUUCUCCCAGGUUGAAAAUAUCUUGGAUCACUGUCAUUUCCACCACGAAGCUUUUCCAGUUAUGGAACUGGAUAAGAUCAUGGUCGAGUGUCUGUUAACCCUCCUGUCCAUACUCAUCCAGCACUCAGGAGAAGACAAGGGUGGUGGGAUGUAGGGCUGCCCUGUGUAUACUGACUUGGGCAUAUAUUCCCAUUAGACAGCCAGGACAGUUCUUGGCUGAAAGCCUAGUCCAGGGCCAUGCUUCAUGUGUCUUCAUUCUGCUCUCUGGCUCUUGCAAGUCUCUCAACUGAUACUCUUUUUCUCUAGAAAAUGGCUCCAUUUGCAAUUAACCAUCUUUUUUUCACUAACGUCAACCAAAUACUCAGACUCUUUACUUUUAAUUUGUGUGUUUGUAUACACUGGGGCUUGAACCCCGUGUCCCAUGAACAUUAAGCAUUUACCUAUUAUGAACUACGCCCUGAACUGUCCCCAUUUCUACUCUCCUACCUUUCUUGCCUUCUUUUUUCCUUUCCUUCUGUCUCUCUUUUAAAAAACAUUUUAUUAAUUUGUGAUUUCAUAUCAUGCAUCUCAAUCCCAUUCUUCUCCCCAUUCCUUCAUAUCUGCCCUCUGCUCUUAAAACCUGCCCCUUCCUCCCCCAAAUAAAUUUUAAAAGGAAUGGAAAGAAAAAUCUCAUUGUGGAAGUGGUCGUGUGGCAUAUUGAGUCACACAGUAUACCUGUUAGUCCAUAUAUCUUUACUUGCAAGUGUUCAUUGCAAGUCAGAGGUCAUGAAGAGUCAGAGACACGUCAAGAGUCAGAGGUCAAGAAGCCUCUGGUUUCUGCUACAUUAUUGACACUGGGCCCUCACUGGGACUCUACUUAGAUAUCCUAUUGUUGCUCUGCUGUGCAGAUCCUGCAGCUUUGGAUCUCUAAGACUGGCCUCUUCAUGUCCUCCUGCAGAUCGUAGAUGGGGUGAAUGAUGGCAUGGACCAACUUAUUUUUUAUUUUUUUUAAGCUUUUAAAAUUGAUCUUAUUUAGCUAUAUAUUUUUCUCUGCUCCCCUCCCUUUCUCUCCCCUCCCCUUCAACCCUCUCCCAUGAUCCCCAUGCUUCCAAUUUACUCAGGAGAUCUUGUCUUUUUCUACUUCCCGUGUAGAUUAGAUACAUGUACGUCUCUUAGGGUCCUCAUUGUUGUUUAGGUUCUCUGGGAUUGUGAAUUGUAGGCUGGUUUUCUUUGCUUUAUGUCUAAAAGCCACUUAUGAGUGAGUACAUAUGAUAUUUGUCUUUCUGGGUCUGAGUGAACUCACUUAAUAAUGUGUUUUCUAGCUCCAUCCAUUUGCCUGCAAAUUUAGAUGUUAUGUCUUUAUGUGGUUUGGGUAUCAGGGAAAUUGUAGCCUCAUAAAAAGAGUUUGGCAGUGUUCCUUCUGUUUCUAUUGUAUGGGACAAUUUGAGGAGUAUUGGUACUAGUUCUUUGAAAAUCUUGUAGAAUUCUGAGCUGAAACAAUUUUGAGCUGAAACCAUCUGGUCCUGGGCUUUUUUUGGUUGUGAGACUUUUGAUGUCUGUUCCAAUUUUUUUUUUUUUUUUUUUUUUUUUAGCAGUUAUAGGUGUAUUUAAUUUGCUUAUCUGGUCUUGAUUUAAUUUUGUUAAGUGAUAUUUACCCAGAGAGUUGGGGAUGGACCAACUUAUAGCCCUGAUGCCUGGGUCUGGGUGGUUGCUGGAUUGGUCAGCCUGCCAACUCUCCCUCUACCAAGGUGAGCGUUCUAGCACUGCCCUGGCUGGUUCAUCCUUUAUAGCAAGCAGCAAAGGGUGGGAUUGGUUCUUCUGUUCUCACAUCCCUAGGGAUAGCUUACCCACACCUACACCACCAGGGCCAAUUGUACUAUGUUGCCCGGGUGAGUGAAAUUCAAGGGCCACUCUCUCAAGUGCUGCAGAUGGUGAGGGGCAAGGCCAGCUCUUCUUCCUGUCACAGGCAAGGGUUGGUGGGUAGGGCAUCUCUCCCAAUAUGGCAGAUGAGGGGUGGGGUCAUAUUUCCCAUGCUCACAUUCUUGGGGCCAGCUCACCUGUGCAGGCAUCAACAGGGUCUCUUGUCCGUCCUCACCAUGUGAGGUGUAGGUAGGGUCAGUUUUCUUGCCUGCUGCUGGUGGCAAGGAGUGAGGAGGGAGGGAAUCUUUCCCUUGCCCUCUACACCAUGUGGCAGAGAGGGCAGGGCCAGCUCUCCCACGCUCAUGCUUUCAGCUCUGCUGUGCUGCCCAGGCGAGAUGAAGGGCCUGGUCUCUGAGUGAUGCAGCUGGUGAGGGACAGGGCUAGUUCUCCUGCUCUCAUGACCUCAGGGCCUGCUCUCGCACCUGCCACAGGCAGUGAGAUGCUGUGUGUGUGUGUGUAAAUCUCUUCCUUACCCAUGCCACUGUGUGCUAGAUGGAGCAGGGCCAGAUCUUCCAUGUUCAGGUUCUUGCGGUGGCUCAUCCAUGCCCCCAUCAACAUGGUCAGCUCUACUGUGCUGCCCAGGAGAGGUGCAGGAUCAGCUCUUGUCUGCCGCAGGUGCCAAGGGGGGAGGGCAUCUUUCCUUCGCCCACACCACUGAAUGGCAAAUGAGGGGGGCAGGAUCAACUCUCCCACUCUCAUGACCUCAGAACCAGCUCACCUGCACCCUGUUAACAGGAUCAGCUCUAUUGUGCUGCCCAGGUGAGGUGCAGAACCAUUUCUCCCUAGUGUUGUAGCCAGUGAGGGACAGGACCAAGAGGCAUAUAAAACUUAGCUAUUGCUGCCAUGAGGACCAGUGUCCAGCAGCUCAGAGAUCGAAGGGGAAGCCACAGUAUCAGUGAACUUAUUAAUAAAGUAUGCCUUUAAAUUGUUUUCCAAGAUACUUUUUUUUAUUACCUCAAAGACAUUAACAAAAACAUCUUAACCUAACCUUAAGUCAUUUGUUAAAACUUUGUUUUAGCUAUGAUGCACACCAAAAGCCGUGACCACAUCUCCCAACAUAAAGAUUAAAAGAAUUUGAGCUAGCUCGGCUUUUAGGACUCAAUUGUUUUUCUUAAUCAUUAACCUAAGUCACAGUCUAUAUGGCUCCUCAAGAGAAAGUAGCAGUGUGGAUAUUUUCUGUUCUUUGCAGCCCCUGCUUUAUCAGAGGUAGGGGCUACACUAUAUCUUGCUUUUUCCUAUAUUAGUUUCCCUACUAUUUUAAUAAAUUAUAAUCCCUUACUAUAUUUAUUAAAAACCCUCAGUCAUCAAAAUCCUAUUUAAACUAACACUAUUAUUGUUUAAAAUCACUGCUUCAGUUAAACAGUAGAGCUUAGGAGGAAAUCAUCUCAUAAUAGUCCUCAGGGGAAAAUGCCCAGCAGGACAGGAUAUUUCCAUGAGAUAAUCACACUACAUUAAAGGCAGUGGGGAUUUCCCCCUGCCCAUUCACACCAUGCCAAAUACCAGAGAAAAAUGGCACAGCAGUAGCAAGAGACAUUAUGGGGCCAAAGCCCUUGGGGCCUUGCCUAUCUGAGAUUCACCCAUUAGAGCUUUGCUUCCUGGCUGGCAGACCUGAACUUCAAUUGCCACCUGCUGCUCCUCUGACUUGCACUUACCAUUGAAAUUAGUCUAGAUAUCAAGCUGGGCGGUGGCACACGCCUUUAAUUCCAGCACUCAGUUCUGAGUUCUAAGCUAGUCUGGACUAUAUAGUGAAUAUAUAGCGCCAGGACAGCCAGACCUUCACAGGGAAACCCUGUUUUGAAAAACCAAAAAAGAAAGAAACUAGUAAAGUGCCGCGGACCGUCCCUCUCGGAGACCACCACCCACGGGGGACCAGGGUGAAGGAUAAGAUAGUCAGGAUACGAUGCAAGGGAAAUGACAGACAGACACACUGUGUAGUGAAAAUCUGCUGCAACUUUACUUCUGUAAAGCUUUAGUUUUUGUACAAAACAGAUCAAAGAACUUGGCAGGUGCAUUACAUCACCCCACUCAGGGUUCCAGACAUAAAUCAAGAUUAAGCAUAACCAAAAUAGAGCUUCUUCUACGUGCUCCUUUCUACGUGUUUCCCCUUCCGUGCUCAAGAUGUUGGUAAGGACUUUUAGUUUUGUUUUGUCUCUUAGAAUUCUGUCUCACACCAUUAUUUACUUUCUACCGUGGGAGACUAGUUCUCAGGGUCCUGUGUUUAGCUUUCCAUCUAUAUAGUUUUUAUUCUUUGCUCCAUAUCCCCUAAUAGUUUUCUCAUUUUCUCAUGAUAGUUCCUAUACCAAUAUAUUAAAGCUCAAUAAUUUCCUUUCUUUCCUUCUUACUAUAAAGACUCCAGGGCUUCUGAGAUCUAGCUAAUCUUUUCAUAAAGGGGAAUUUUCUCUAACUCUCCUUUUCUCUCUAAAUCUGAUUCACCAUGAUGAUUCCCUCAUAACAUAUCAACUUUAGCCGUUUCUGUUUCAUAAAUAAUAAAGUUUCCCAGGCUCAUGUGGCAUGGGGCAUACUUCAGUUC